GACUGCGUAGCUCAGUUGGAAGAGCAUUGGGCUAGUAUUCCAAAGGUUGUAGGUUCGAAUCCCACCGUCGCCG
rnacentral:tRNA from 1 species